rnacentral:rRNA from 1 species
CCUACGGGAGGCAGCAGUGGGGAAUUUUGGACAAUGGGGGCAACCCUGAUCCAGCCAUGCCGCGUGAGUGAAGAAGGCCUUCGGGUUGUAAAGCUCUUUCGGACGGAACGAAACGGGCGAGGCUAAUAACCUUGUCCACUGACGGUACCGUAAGAAGAAGCACCGGCUAACUACGUGCCAGCAGCCGCGGUAAUACGUAGGGUGCGAGCGUUAAUCGGAAUUACUGGGCGUAAAGCGUGCGCAGGCGGUUUUGUAAGCUGGAGGUGAAAUCCCCGGGCUUAACCUGGGGAUGGCCUUCAGGACUGCAAGGCUUGAGUACGGCAGAGGGAGGUGGAAUUCCACGUGUAGCAGUGAAAUGCGUAGAUAUGUGGAGGAACACCGAUGGCGAAGGCAGCCUCCUGGGCCAGUACUGACGCUCAUGCACGAAAGCGUGGGGAGCAAACAGGAUUAGAUACCCUGGUAGUCCACGCCCUAAACGAUGUCAACUAGGUGUUGGGGAAGGUGACUUCCUUAGUACCGCAGCUAACGCGUGAAGUUGACCGCCUGGGGAGUACGGCCGCAAGGUUAAAACUCAAAGGAAUUGACGG